rnacentral:lncRNA from 1 species
UGGAUAUAAUGAUAUAUUGUAAGCGAAGCACACAACAAUUGUUUUUAGUUCUUUAAGUUCGACAUCUCUGCAUAUUCGUGAACUGCCACAUAAAGAAAUAGGUCAACAACUUUUUAUUGCCAUAAACACUGGCGGAUACAGAUACACUAAGUAUAUAUAUAUAUAUAUAUAUAUAUAUAUAUAUAUAUAUAUAUAAUAUUAGCAUUUCUAUAUUUAGCAAAUAAAAUUUUUCUCUUAUUUUUUAGUCUAUCCUUGUAUUUCUUUUUCCACAUAGGUUCUAUGUUAGCUCGAUUGCCAAAAUUAUUCUAUUUUGUUGUUUCUACAAAUGAAAACCUAAUUAUUUAUCUCCAGACCACAUACAUAUUGACUCAUACCACCAAAUAUUAGUACAAAUCAUAUCUUAUUUCUAAACUCAUUUCCAAGACAAAUCGGAAUAUGCACAUGACAACAUGUAUAACAAACUAUUCUUUUCGUGUGAGUGAACAAUGCAUGAGUGGGAGGCAAUUUCAUAAUCCUUAUUCCUAAAUCUCUAACUCUAGCUGACCAUGCAUGAUGUAGUGGCGGCAUUGUUGGUUCCUAGUGUCUUAAGCUCCUAGCAGCGCGGGGCGUGCAGCGCGGGCGCGGCCUCUGUCUCUAUGCUACGCCUACAUGGCGACCAGUGAGGAUGCACGUCGCUUAUGAGGUUAGAGACAAAAACUGAGUAGCAACCUACCAAACAUCAACAAGGGAAUACGCAAGAUUUAAAUCCUGGCUCCGCCACUGGCCAUAAAGUAUGACUUACAUCCAGGGUGAUUGGAUAGACAAUUAUGCAUUGCAUACAACCAAACCAAAUAGUCCAUUCCUACAUCCAGAAGGCUAGAGGAGAAAAUGACGAAAGAUGCUUUGACACUAGAUAAGAGUUGGUGUGCGACCAAUAGUUUGUAGCUCUCCCUUGCGACUGUACUUGACACCGAACAUGGUGAUAUGGAGCAUGGAACCAACACAGUCACCAAAAAUAUCCUCAUACUCUAGUCCCUCACCCAACACACACUCCACAAUGCAAAAAUGUGGAACCACCCAUGUACGUGAGAGUAGGCCCAGGGACCCCUGCCGAGACUCACCACCGACCCGCUCUCCUCUCCUAAGGGCAUGUUUGGUUCUUGCUAAAUUUUAGCCAGCUAAAAUUAUUUGAGCUAUUUUUGGUGACUAGUAGAACUAAAUUAUUUUAGCUCAUUUUUAGUUAAUAUAUGUGAAAAUUUAAGUACUAUUCGCUUGGCUGAUAAGCCAUGGCUGAAAAAACUGUUCGCUGAUUUGUUAUGAGAAAAAAAUAUUGUUGAAUAGCUGGCAAAUUCGGACUAUAAUCUCAAGCGAACAAACUGUUAGUUACUAAGGCUUUGUUUAGUUUCUUACAAAUUUUGCAAAAUUUUUCACAUUCCCCAUCACAUCGAAUCUUGCAGCGCAUGUAUGAAGCAUUAAAUAUAGAUUAAAAAUAACUAAUUGCAUAGUUUACCUGUAAUUUGCGAGACGAAUCUUUUAAAUCUGAUUAGUCCAUGACUGGAUAAUAUUUGGCAAAUACGAACAAAAAUACUACAGUGUCUAUUUAAAAAGGGUCUGUCUACGGAUAACUCAGGUGAUGUACAUCAUCUUGUCACCCGAGUGACACAACACGUUAAAUCACUUGAUUCCAACAAACAAAACAAAUCAGGUGAUUCAAUUAUCGCCAUCACUCAAUUCCUAUAACCACAAAAUCAAAAUCCAACGGACCAAAUAAAAAUAGAUUAAAACCAGAGCAAAAAAUAAAAAAGACAGAUUUAUCAGAUAAUUUCUAUGAAAGGAAAAUUAGAAGAAGAUCAAAGCAAAAAUAAAUAGAGAAAAAAGACAGAUUUACCAGAUAAUUUCUAUGAAAGUCAAAUUAAAAGAAGACCAGAGAAAAAAGAAAAUAGAGAAAAAAAGACAGACAAAAUUAGCAUAUUAUACAAAUUAGAAGAGAAAUCAAAGCUAAAAAACAUAGAAGUGUUCGAAUAAUCCAAAUAACCAUUCUCGUUUACAAAUAACCAAUUUACACCAGUUAAACACAAAACUUACAUCCAAAUCAGAAGAGUAAAAUAUGCUGCUGUAAGAUGUAAUCUGCAACUAGGAGCACAAGGAACUGGUUGCAGUCAACGAGAUCUGAGCCGUAGCCGCCAUACUCCCUGACGUGGUCACCGCCGGCGACAUGAAGGAGAGGAGGAGGUGGUUACCUGACACUGCCAGACGGCACUGGUCCUCCUCCGAUGGGAUGGCAAGGCGCUAGGUGCGCGACAUGGUGACGCCGUGACAGCGGGGCAGCAGGGGCGCAUGCGCGGCGUGGUGGCGUAGGGACGACGGGGCAGUAGCGGCAGGCAUAUGGCGUCCGCGGCGAGGCAGCAGUGCGGUGGGGAAAGAAGUUGCCGUCCACUUGGAAGAGCCAACAAAGUCGUGAGGAACCACGGCAGCCUAGGGCCCGCCACCGGUUUGUUGCUGCCUUGCCGCAGUUCAUUUGUAUCAUCAAAACGUCAUCGGAUGGAUAAGAAAAUCGAGUGACGGGAGGCUUAGAAACACCCGAGCAAGCAAUAGAUUUAGCGUUUAAAAAAUGUAACUAAACAAGACUUAAAGUUACUAAAAUUUAGCUAGCUAUAAAGUUUAGUAAUGAGAACCAAACGGGCCUUUAGCCUCAGCAAUGCUUGCGCGGUAGGGCUCAUCCCCUCUACCCCUAGAUGUAAUUUCGAAUUCGGAAAUUAAACCGUCCAAGUUGGGUGCGAAACCCUGAAUGUCUUGUUUCCUUAAGAGAAGGCCGAUGCCUUAUUUGGGCCUUUCCAGUUGUAGCC